CUCUGCUGCAGGGGUGUGCACUUAGAAAAAGUGUGACCCCACAACCUACUGCGUCCUCCACCAGAAAGUUUGUCUUUUCUUUUUUCUCACUCUCUUGGACUUGAUGUUUUAUAUUUUCCCCGACUGCUGUUUCCUGGGACUCCAAUACCAGUUUCCUUUUACUGGAAACACAGAGGCAAAUGACAACAUCAUCCUUACUGAAACACCCUGCCUCCACCAUACCCAUGCAAGCUAUUUGUUUCUCAGGCUAAAAGAGACGCCAUGAAAGAGAACUUCUGGUGAAACUUCAAGGACUUAAUGAGACUUCAAGGACAUUGAUACAAGCUAUUUGUAACUCAGAAAUUCUACCUGGAUCCUAGGCCCUUGACAGUCCUUAGAGAAGAGUCGGGUAUUUGAGGACUCAUAUGAAUUGACAACAUCAUGAGUAUAAAUUUUCCAAGAAGGCUUU
rnacentral:lncRNA from 1 species